rnacentral:tRNA from 1 species
AGUAAGUGCCUGAAUUUAAAGGAUUACCUUGAUAGGGUAAAUAAAGUAAUUAUAAAUUACCUUACUU